GCCGGGCACGGUGGCUCAUGCCUGUAAUCCUCGCACUUUGGGAGGCAGAGGUGGGCGGAUCACCUGAGGUCAGGAGUUCAAGACCAGCCUGGCCAACAUGGUGAAACCCCAUCUCUA
rnacentral:SRP_RNA from 1 species